rnacentral:rRNA from 1 species
GAUGAACGCUGGCGGCGUGCUUAACACAUGCAAGUCGAACGAUGAACCGGGUGCUUGCACUCGGGGAUUAGUGGCGAACGGGUGAGUAACACGUGAGCAACCUGCCCCUGACUCUGGGAUAAGCGCUGGAAACGGCGUCUAAUACUGGAUAUGUCCCGUCACCGCAUGGUGUGCGGGUGGAAAGAUUUUUCGGUUGGGGAUGGGCUCGCGGCCUAUCAGCUUGUUGGUGAGGUAAUGGCUCACCAAGGCGUCGACGGGUAGCCGGCCUGAGAGGGGGACCGGCCACACUGGGACUGAGACACGGCCCAGACUCCUACGGGAGGCAGCAGUGGGGAAUAUUGCACAAUGGGCGGAAGCCUGAUGCAGCAACGCCGCGUGAGGGAUGACGGCCUUCGGGUUGUAAACCUCUUUUAGCAGGGAAGAAGCGAGAGUGACGGUACCUGCAGAAAAAGCACCGGCUAACUACGUGCCAGCCGCCGCAGUAACAC